ensembl:lncRNA
CGAGACUCGAGGCGAGGGCGGGUGUGUGGUAGCGGCGGCCUCGCGGCUUGGCUGUUACGAGGCCGGCGGCGUGGCUGGAAAGCUGUGACUUCGUUUUUUCACCCCCCUUGAAGCCUGGCCGGGCUUAUUCAGUGCAGGCUGUCUGCGCCGUCCCAGGCCCGCGGCAACUCCUCGCCUUCGUUCGUGCUCUUCGCCGAGCGGCAAAGCGGGAGUGGUGUCCCCGUUAACCUGGCGUGCUGAGGGGUUAACGGACUGCGUCAGCCUAACAGCUUGGACUGCACAAGGUGAACGGGUCUCAGAAGGAGGGCCUGGUUUUCUCCCAUUUGGAGAAUUAGCUGCCGAAAGAUUUUUCCUGGUAUUUCAAGAUAAGUUUUGUUAUCGUGGCAUAUAUCAGGGAAAGAACAGCACACAAGUGAGAAAGCAGACCUAGA